GAUGAACGCUGGCGGCGUGCCUAAUACAUGCAAGUCGAACGAACAGUCUAUACCGUUGCUUGCUACACGAUAGCCUGUGAGUUGCGAAUGGGUGAGUAACGCGUAGCUAACAUGCCUGGUAGCGGGGGAUAACUCUUGGACACGUUAGCUAAUACCGCUUAAUAUUCAUUAUUGCAUGAUAAAUGAUUGAAAGAUGCUAUUGCAUCACUACAACAUGGACCCGCGUUGUAUUAGCUAGUAGGUGAGGUAACGGCUCCCCUAGGCGACGAUACAUAGCCGACCUUGGAGGGGGGUCGGCCACACUGGGAACGGGACACGGGCCAGACUCCCACGGGGGGGAGCAGUAGGGAAACUUCGGCAAAGGGCGGAAAGCUUAACGGGCAAAGCCGGGGGGGGGAAGAAAGGUCUCGGAUCGGAAAGAUUCGUUGAUAAGGGAGAAAGGAUUGUGGAGUGAAAAGUGCACGCUGUGACGGUAUCUAAUCAGAAAGCGACGGCUAACUACGUG
rnacentral:rRNA from 1 species